rnacentral:rRNA from 1 species
CACCAGCGCCACGAGUGGCAACCGCGUUUAUUGGGCCUAAAGCGUCCGUAGCCGGCCCUGUAAAUCCUUUGUGAAAUUGCUCGGCUCAACCGAUCAGCGCGCAAGGGAGACUGCAGGGCUCGAGACCGGGAGGAGUCAGAAGUAUUCCAUGGGGAGCGGUAAAAUGUUAUAAUCCAUGGAGGACUACCUGUGGCGAAGGCGUCUGACCAGAACGGAUCUGACGGUGAGGGACGAAAGCCAGGGGAGCGAA